rnacentral:lncRNA from 1 species
AACUCAUACCAAUUGAAAAGACCCGUCCAUAACAUACCAUAAGUGGAAAAUAAUUGUUGUAAUAACCACAUUGAACCUGUACCUGAAUAUUCAGAGGAAGUUGUGAUUGUCGAAAUAACAGAAGAAGAUAAAGUUAUUUUUACCCUUAAAAAAGAGAUACUAAAUUUAACAGACACAUUAGUCAAAGAGAGAAAUCAAUUUGAAAAUUAUUUAAAUAAAAUGUAGGAAACUAAGAAGAGUCUUAAAUCUGAACUUGACCAGACUAAAUCAGAACUAUUAAACUAGAAAAAUAAAGAAAACCAGAAGAUUGAGAGGGAAGAAAAGAAGAAAAGACAGGAAGAGGAGUUACCAGGAACCGACAAGAAGGAUACGAAGUGUGGUUGUAGUGCCCAAAAAAGAUGAAAACUUUUUUAAUUAUGAUAUUUAUAGAGAC